rnacentral:rRNA from 1 species
CCUGGUAGUCCACGCCGUAAACGAUGUCGAUUUGGAGGUUGUGCCCUUGAGGCGUGGCUUCCGGAGCUAACGCGUUAAAUCGACCGCCUGGGGAGUACGGCCGCAAGGUUAAAACUCAAAUGAAUUGACGGGGGCCCGCACAAGCGGUGGAGCAUGUGGUUUAAUUCGAUGCAACGCGAAGAACCUUACCUGGUCUUGACAUCCACAGAACUUUCCAGAGAUGGAUUGGUGCCUUCGGGAACUGUGAGACAGGUGCUGCAUGGCUGUCGUCAGCUCGUGUUGUGAAAUGUUGGGUUAAGUCCCGCAACGAGCGCAACCCUUAUCCUUUGUUGCCAGCGGUUAGGCCGGGAACUCAAAGGAGACUGCCAGUGAUAAACUGGAGGAAGGUGGGGAUGACGUCAAGUCAUCAUG